AGCGAACGCUGGCGGCAGGCCUAAUACAUGCAAGUCGAACGGUCUCUUCGGAGGCAGUGGCGGACGGGUGAGUAACGCGUGGGAAUAUGCCCUUUGGUACGGAACAACUGAGGGAAACUUCAGCUAAUACCGUAUGUGCCCUUCGGGGAAAGAUUUAUCGCCAUUGGAGUAGCCCGCGUUGGAUUAGGUAGUUGGUGGGGUAAAGGCCUACCAAGCCUACGAUCCAUAGCUGGUCUGAGAGGAUGAUCAGCCACACUGGGACUGAGACACGGCCCAGACUCCUACGGGAGGCAGCAGUAGGGAAUCUUGCGCAAUGGGCGAAAGCCUGACGCAGCCAUGCCGCGUGAGUGAUGAAGGUCUUAGGAUUGUAAAAUUCUUUCACCGGGGAAGAUAAUGACGGUACCCGGAGAAGAAGCCCCGGCUAACUUCGUG
rnacentral:rRNA from 1 species